UGUUCUUGGACCACAAGCUGUUAUGGGCAGCUUGAGGAUAAGCGUAGCUGCCUCGGCUAUGGACUCCUCUGUCUGGUUCUAUGGCUCCUGGUGCUGAAUCCGAACUCUCAAGUGAGCUUACCAGGCUCAGAAGUGGCCUGUCCUGGGACCUGCACGCUAGCAGAAAUAAUAUUUCUUAUCUGUGGUUCAGCUGCCCCCCCCCGAGGGAGGGAUGGUCUUGUGACCAAAGCACAGCGCAGGAGUCCCAUGCUAUGUUCCUAGCCCUGCCACUGACUCAGUGUGUGCACUUUGGCAAGUCAUAUAAUGUCCCUGUGCCUCAGUUUCCCUAUUAGUAAGUUUGGGGUAAUAUCUUGAGGAAGGUUAAGAAAAUGUAAUGAUUUAAUCAUAAUAUUUGUCAAGUGUCUCCAGGUCCUCAGAUAAGCAGUGCUGUGUUAGUGCAGGAAGCAGUCCAUUCCUCAUGCACUGAGGCUGCUCCCCUGAAACAGUAAGUUUGGCAUACAGAAGAGCCAAAGACAGUGUUAUCUAGACAAAGCUUUGAGGUGUGUUCAGACUAGCAAUCAAGGUGUGUUCUUACUACAUGUUCAAGUCCUAACGACAAGGCAGUAUGUAGUUUUCAUGUGUGUUAGCAGGUUGAGGUACAUGCUUGGAAACUUCCCUGGGAUUUCACCUCGUGAGCUAGUGCAUGGUACGAUCACUCUCCUUUUUGCUUGAUGAAGACCAGGGCACGGUCAUUGCUGAGUUGUUGAUCAAGGCUGCAGAGGUAUCAGGAGGAGCAGGUGCCCAGAGAACUCAACAAGGAUCCAGAUGCUGUACAAAAACACGUGGCCACUUUUGGAAGACGAGACUCGGCUAGAUGGACCAUUGGUCUGACCCAGAAUGGCCAUUCUUACAUAGUCAUCUUCUCUCGAGUGGGUGAGUUAGAUUUAUUUCUAUAUCACGUUUCUUUCUCGCAUUCCUAAAGCAGAAACUUGAACUGGCUGCAGCCUAACACUUUAAUAUUACAUUAAAUUUGCCCAGUAACACCUCAUCAGUAACACCUCAUGCUUCAGAAUAAGUACCCAAGAAAAUUGGUGGUCCUUUCCCUCAGAAACAAUGCCCAGGUAGACACUGCCUUUCGGUCUAGUGUUACACUGAAUUUAUUUCCAGUUACACUUCAGGUUGUUUUAAUUCUUUAAUGCUUUGUAAUAGAUCAGUAAACUCAACUGCAAUGGGUAAUAUUAACGGACAAAGACAACAUCGUGAUGCGCUAGCUCGCUGUUUUGAUUUUGUCUAUUUACUUGCUAAUUUGUCAUAAUAGCUCAGCUGCAAAGGGUGUUCUCCAGUUCUGCUCUGCCAGAUAACUGCAGCUCGCUGCAGCAGUGCAUGAGUACGCCACUCGGAGCUCUGAAAGCAGCUUCCUUGGCAUUUAAAGCAUUGGCAGUUGGAUUAAAAACAACCUUUUUUAAAAAAAAUUCUUUGCGCUGAACUUAUUUUUGAAAUGCUUCCAAUGACCCAAAUGUCAAAAAAAGCUGGUUCAUCCGAUGAACGUCUGUCUGUGGCAAAGGUGGAAAAAAGUCCUCAUGUUGGAAAAUAAACUGCUGGUGAUGGAAACAAUGGGUUAGAAAAAGAAAAUACAGGGGCGUUUAUGGCUCUUAUUAAUUUUUACCCUAGCAGAGAUGCUAAUUAUGGCUGCAUCUGUCCUAGAUCUGUUUCUUCACACAUCCCGCGGUUGGAGUUCAACUGGUGGUGUGUUGCUUGUAUAAAUAAUAAUAAUACCCAGAACUUAAGUAGAGGCUUCUCAUCCAUAAGUUUCAAAGUGCUUUACCAAGGAGGUCAGUAUCAUUAUCUGUAGGAUGGGGAAACUGAGGCACAGAGUUAGGGUGACUUGCCCAGUGGUGAAGCUGGGAAUAGAACUCAGCUCUCCUGGGUACCAGUCCAGUGCUCUGUCCUCCCAGGCCAUGCUGCCUCAGACCAUAGUCCUCUUCUGGACUCUGUAUGCGUUAGCACUCCCACCAUUAGUACUUUGGUUGGAGCUGCAAAGGUGCGCAGACCUCUUGGGUAAGUUUAUCCUCUGUCAAUGACUGCAUGGCUGACCAAGUCAUUAGACGAAUGAAGAUGUUCUGAAGAGUUUGCUUUUCAACAUUUGCUUUCCCUUGUUUGAAUGAUCCACAUGUUGAACUGACACUGCAGUUAGCUUGUGAGGCCUCCCUGUAUUCUUCCUGGACAACCCUGGGUUGGAAGGAGAAAGGUGUAGCCUAUGUUGCAGUGGUAUUUAUUUCCAUGGGCUUGUUUUCAGGAUUGGGAAUGUCUCUGGCUGUUCCUGAUUAGCUUCCUAUCUGGACUGAAAGUAUUUCAAUUAUAUCCCGUCACCCUAGUAAAAUAAAUUGUCUUCAGUUUUCAAAGCAUUCUUCUACUUUGUAAAACCACCAUAGAAAAGUCCAAGCAGAGAGAGGUUCUGCAAAUCUUUAAAGUGAUGCCGCUUAUUAAGCACUCGCUUGUCUACUGAUCAUUGUUAUCUCAAUUCCUGGUAUUUGGCUUUAUAUCUCAAAGUGCUGUACAGACAUUAGCUAAUCCUAAUAACAUCAGUUGGGAGAUGAGUAUCUUCACCUGUAUUUUACAGAUGGGGAAACUGAAACACAGGAGAUGAAAUGUACUUGCCUGUAUCAGUGGUGGUUGGGCUUGGAACUCUGAAGUUCUUGAUUGCCAAACCUGAUUGUUCGGACUGCUAGACUAUGCCAUCUCUCUGGUGUCUUGUACUGUAGGAAGGCAGCAAGCAUGUAUUUCAAAGUUCUGACAUUGCUUCCUUAUGAAACCAAGUUCCUGAAGAAAGUUUAGUAAUAUAAAGCUGACCCACAAAGGCAUAAAAAGUUUGUCAUUUUUUAUUGUAUUUGAUUUACUUAUUGCUUCCUUGUGAUGAUAAAAUGUAAAGGUUUUGCUUGGUUUUUAACCAUCAGCAAUAUCAAGUCUUGUCUGUCUUGUUUUUGAUGGAAGUUUCCUGGAGGACUAGAAAAUUGUUGUGAGAACUUUCUCAGCACUCAGUUGAAGUACCAGUUGGAAUCUUUCACACACAACUUUUCUCCCAAGAGUGCAUCAGAUGUUGGAGUUAAAUAGACACUUAGAAAAACAAUGUUUGGAAUAAGUCUAGCUGAAAAAUAAACCUCAACAAAUCUUCCUCUUCUUAAUUGCUUAGCUUCCAGUUUUUAUGGCUGAUUCUUAAUAUAAAACAUUUAUUGGUGAUGGAGAAAAUAAACCAAAUUCCUAUUGCAAAAAGAAAGUAAAAUUAGAACAAGAGCAUAAACUCUGGCAAAUCAAGUGUAAAAGUAUAAUUAGGGAGACCAAAAAGGAAUCUGAAGAGCAGUUAGCAAAAGACACAAAAACUAACGGCAAUUUUUUUUAAGUACAUCAGAAGCAGGAAGCCUGCCAAACAGUCAGUGGGGUCACUGGAUGAUCGAGUUGCUAAAGGAGCAUUCAAGGAAGACAAGGCCAUUGUGGAGAAACUAAAUGAAUUCUUUGCAUCUGUCUUCACUGCAGAGGAUGGGAGGGAGAUCCUCAGACCCGAGUCGUCAUUUUUAGAAUGACGGAUCUGAGGACCUGUCCCAGAUUGUUCCAAAACCUCCUCUACUGACACCUCAAACUGAUAAACAGUAAUAGGUCACCAGGACCAAACUGAGUUCCUUGAGAACUCUUGGGUGAAUUCUGAUAUGAAAGAACAGAACUACUAACUGUGGUAUGUAACCUAUAGCUUAAAUUGGCCUCUGUACCAGAGGAUUGGAAGACAGGUAAUAUAACACCAAUAUUUAAAAAAGGCUCCAGAGGCAAUCCUGACAAUUAUAUACCAGUAAGCCGAUUUGUUGAGGAAGAGUCAGCAUGGCUUUUGUGAAGGGAAAUCGUGCCUCACCAAUCUAUUAGAAUUCUUGUAGGAGGUCAACAAACAUGUUGAUUGAGUGAGUAUAGUGUACGUGGUCUUUCAGAAAGCCGUUCGUUGUCACGGUCCCUCACCAAAGGCUCCUAAACAAAGUGAUCAUUGUGGGAUAAGAGGGAAGGUCCUCUCAUGGAUCAAUAAUUGGUUAAAAGAUAGAAAACAAGGGAUAGGAAUAAAUGAUCAGUUUUCACAGUGGAGAGAGGUAAAUAAUGGGGUUCCCCAAAGAUCUGUACUAGAACCAGUGCUGGUCAACAUAUUCAUAAAUGAUUUGGAAAAGGGGGUGAACAGUGAGGUGGCAAAGUUUGCAGACGGUACAAAACUACUCAGGAUAGUUAAGUCUAAAGCUGGCUACAAAGGGAUCUCCCAAAACUGGGUGACUAGGAAAUUCGACGUUGAUAAAUGGAAAAUAAUGCACAUUGGAAACCAUAAUCCCAAGUAUACGUACAAGAUAAUGGAGUCUUAAUCAAAAAGUGAACAAUGUGAGGAUCAGGAUAGAUAAUAAGACAGAAAAGAUCAUAAUGCCGCUAUGUAAACCCAUGGUACGCCCACCCCUUGAACACUGCCUGCAGUGCUGACCGCUCCAUCUCAAAAAAGGCUUGUUAGAAUUGGAAAAAGUACAGAGAAGACAACAAAAGUGAUAAAGGGUAUGGAAUAGCCUCUAUCGGAGGAGAUACUAAAAAGACUAGGACUGUUCAGCUUGGAAAAGAGAUGACUGUGGAGGAAUAUGAUCGAGAUCUG